rnacentral:rRNA from 1 species
GAUGAACGCUGGCGGCGUGCCUAAUACAUGCAAGUCGAGCGAACGGACGAGAAGCUUGCUUCUCUGAUGUUAGCGGCGGACGGGUGAGUAACACGUGGAUAACCUACCUAUAAGACUGGGAUAACUUCGGGAAACCGUAGCUAAUACCGGAUAAUAUUUUGAACCGCAUGGUUCAAAAGUGAAAGACGGUCUUGCUAUCACUUAUAGAUGGAUCCGCGCUGCAUUAGCUAGUUGGUAAGGUAACGGCUUACCAAGGCAACGAUGCAUAGCCGACCUGAGAGGGUGAUCGGCCACACUGGAACUGAGACACGGUCCAGACUCCUACGGGAGGCAGCAGUAGGGAAUCUUCCGCAAUGGGCGAAAGCCUGACGGAGCAACGCCGCGUGAGUGAUGAAGGUCUUCGGAUCGUAAAACUCUGUUAUUAGGGAAGAACAUAUGUGUAAGUAACUGUGCACAUCUUGACGGUACCUAAUCAGAAAGCCACGGCUAACUACGUG